AUGGCGGAUUGCAACGAGGAAGCAAGCGGUGAUGCCCGUCCCACCCUGACAGUGCUGCCCCCCUCCAGUGAGGAGCUGCAGCAGGGGAAGGCCACCCUCAUGUGUCUGGCCAACAAGGGCUUCCCCUCAGACUGGAGUCUGUCCUGGAAGGUGGACGACAGCAGCAGCAGCAGCAGCAGCUGGGAGCAGAGCAGGAGCCCCGGGGUGCUGCAGAAGGACGGCCUCUACAGCUGGAGCAGCACCCUGAGGCUCCCUGCAGACCAGUGGAGGAAGGUGGGCUCUGUGACCUGUGAGGCCUCCAAGGGCUCCCAGCCUGCAGUCACACAGACGCUGACCAGAGACCAGUGUUCCCAGUCCUGAGCUCAUUCA